rnacentral:piRNA from 1 species
UAAACCUAUGAAGCCUGAGGCUAACUUUGGG